AUUUUUCUUUAGGCCUUAUGUGGGUCAUUAAAAAUGUACCCUUAAAAAUGUGGGUCGUGAUUCCAAAAAGGUUGAAGAUUUCUAUAUUAUAGUGACCAUCUCGUAUCAUAUGAUAUACGAAGUAUAUGAAAAAAUAUUUAAAUACUCACAUAACAUAAUAUUAUUAAAAAUUGACGUAUUUUCGUACUUGGUGUGAAUUUUUCACCGGCUACUUU